UACGGAGGGUGCAAGCGUUAUCCGGAUUCACUGGGUUUAAAGGGUGCGUAGGUGGGUCUGAAAGUCAGUGGUGAAAUCUCCGUGCUUAACAUGGAAACUGCCAUUGAUACUCUGGAUCUUGAAUUUUCUGGAGGUUAGCGGAAUAUGUCAUGUAGCGGUGAAAUGCUUAGAUAUGACAUAGAACACCAAUUGCGAAGGCAGCUAACUACGGGAACAUUGACACUGAGGCACGAAAGCGUGGGGAUCAAAC
rnacentral:rRNA from 1 species